rnacentral:rRNA from 1 species
GACGAACGCUGGCGGCGUGCUUAACGCAUGCAAGUCGAACGGAAAGGCCCUGCUUUUGUGGGGUGCUCGAGUGGCGAACGGGUGAGUAACACGUGAGUAACCUGCCCUUGACUUUGGGAUAACUUCAGGAAACUGGGGCUAAUACCGGAUAGGAGCUCCUGCUGCAUGGUGGGGGUUGGAAAGUUUCGGCGGUUGGGGAUGGACUCGCGGCUUAUCAGCUUGUUGGUGGGGUAGUGGCUUACCAAGGCUUUGACGGGUAGCCGGCCUGAGAGGGUGACCGGCCACAUUGGGACUGAGAUACGGCCCAGACUCCUACGGGAGGCAGCAGUGGGGAAUAUUGCACAAUGGGCGGAAGCCUGAUGCAGCAACGCCGCGUGCGGGAUGACGGCCUUCGGGUUGUAAACCGCUUUCGCCUGUGACGAAGCGUGGGUGACGGUAAUGGGUAAAGAAGCACCGGCUAACUACGUG